GACGAACGCUGGCGGCGUGCUUAACACAUGCAAGUCGAACGGAAAGGCCCUGCUUUUGUGGGGUGCUCGAGUGGCGACCGGGUGAGUAACACGUGAGUAACCUGCCCUUGACUUUGGAAUAACUUCAGGAAACUGGGGCUAAUACCGGAUAGGAGCUCCUGCUGCUUGGUGGGGGUUGGAAAGUUUCGGCGGUUGGGGAUGGACUCGCGGCUUAUCAGCUUGUUGGUGGGGUAGUGUCUUAGCAAGGCCUUGACGGGUAGCCGGCCUGAGCGGGUGACCGGCCACAUUGGGACUGAGAUGCGACCCAGACUCCUACGGGAGGCAGCGGUGGAGAAUAUUACACAGUAGGCGGAAGCAUGAUGCAGCAAAGCAGCGUGCGGGAAGACAGCAUUCGGGUUGUAAACCGAUUUCGCCUGAGACGAAGCGUGAGUGACGGUAAUGGGUAAAGAAGCACCGGCUAACUACGUG
rnacentral:rRNA from 1 species